rnacentral:pre_miRNA from 1 species
UUAACCCAUUUAACAACUCAACUCAUCAAAUUAAAUGAGUUAUGGUUUGACCCAACCCAUUUAACAAAAUGAGUUGGGUCAACCUAUAACUCAUUUAACUUUAAACUCAUUUGAUUAUGAGU